AUUGAACGCUGGCGGCAGGCCUAACACAUGCAAGUCGAGCGGAGCGGCGGACGGGUGAGUCAUGCCUAGGAAUCUGCCUGGUAGUGGGGGAUAACGCCCGGAAACGGGCGCUAAUACCGCAUACUAUCAGAUGAGCCUAGGGCGAAUUAGCUGGUUGGUGGGGUAAAGGCCUACCUAGGCGACGAUCCCUAGCUGGUCUGAGAGUAUGAUCAGCCACAUGGGAGUUGAGACACGGUCCAGAGUCCGAUGUGAGUCAGCAGUGGGGAUUAUUGCACAAUUGGGGAAGGCCUGAUACAGACAGGCCGCGUAUAUGAAGAAGGCUCUAGGAGGUUAAAGUACUUUAAGUGGGGAGGCGUUACCGACAGAAAAAGCACCGGCUAACUUCGUGCCAGCAGCCGCGGUAAUUC
rnacentral:rRNA from 1 species